GCCCCCGUAGCUCAGUCGGAUAGAGCAACCGCCUCCUAAGCGGUAGGUCGGACGUUCGAAUCGUCUCGGGGGCACCA
rnacentral:tRNA from 1 species